AGUGAACGCUGGCGGUAGGCCUAACACAUGCAAGUCGAGCGAGUGGCGGACGGGUGAGGAAUACAUCGGAAUCUACUCUGUCGCGGGGGAUAACGUAGGGAAACUUACGCUAAUACCGCAUACGCUUGAAUGAGCCGAUGUCGGAUUCGCUAGUUGGCGGGGUAAAGGCCCACAAAGGCGACGAUCCUUAGCUGGUCUGAGAGGAUGAUCAGCCACACGGUACCUGAGACACGGCCCAGACUCCUACGGGAGGCAGCAGUGGGGAAUAUUGGACAAUGGGCGCAAGCCUGAUCCAGCCAUACCGCGUGUGUGAAGAAGGCCUUCGGGUUGUAAAGCCCUUUUGUUGGGAAAGCGUUACCCAAAGAAUAAGCACCGGCUAACUCCGUGCCAGCAGCCGCGGUAAUUC
rnacentral:rRNA from 1 species